rnacentral:tRNA from 1 species
AGUGGUGUAGCACAACGGCUAGUGCGGGCAACUUAUAAUUGUCUGACGAUGGUUCGACUCCAUCCACUACUA